GGCGCAACCCCUGCAUUCAGUUGCCAACGGUAAGGCCGGGCACUCUGGAUGGACUGCCGGCGACAAGCCGGAGGAAGGUGGGGAUGACGUCAAGUCAUCAUGGCCCUUAUGUCCAGGGCGACACACGUGCUACAAUGGCCGGCACAGCGGGAAGCGAGGGGCGACCUUGAGCGGAUCCCUCAAAGCCGGUCUCAGUUCGGAUUGCAGUCUGCAACUCGACUGCAUGAAGUUGGAAUCGCUAGUAAUCGCAGAUCAGCCAAGCUGCGGUGAAUACGUUCCCGGGCCUU
rnacentral:rRNA from 1 species